AGCAGCCGCGGUAAUUCCAGCUCCAAUAGCGUAUAUUAAAGUUGUUGCAGUUAAAAAGCUCGUAGUUGAAUUUCGGGAUCAAUUUAUCGGUCGUGCCAAUGGUAUGAACUGGUACAAUUGGUUUCUCCCUUCUGACGAAGCAUGAUGUCAUUAAUUUGGUGUCGUGGGGAAUCAGGACUGUUACUUUGAAAAAAUUAGAGUGUUUAAAGCAAGCAUUAGCUUGAAUACAUUAGCAUGGAAUAAUGAAAUAGGACGUUUGAUCCUAUUUCGUUGGUUUCUAGGAUCGACGUAAUGAUUAAUAGGGAUAGUUGGGGGCAUUAGUAUUCAAUUGUCAGAGGUGAAAUUCUUGGAUUUAUUGAAGACUAACUACUGCGAAAGCAUUUGCCAAGGAUGUUUUCAUUAAUCAAGAACGAAAGUUAGGGGAUCGAAGACGAUCAGAUACCGUCGUAGUCUUAACCAUAAACUAUGCCGACUAGGGAUCGGAUGAUGUAAUUUUUAAUGA
rnacentral:rRNA from 1 species